UGCCAUAGCCCAACGAUUAAAGAUGUUUGUAAUUUUGUUAAGAGCAUUCAAACUACAACUGAGAUCCUGUGUUUGAAUUGCCCUUUACGUCUAAAUUUAUUUACAUAUUUUAUCAUUUGUCAAAAAAGGUAAGGGACCAUGUAAUAAUUAUUUAUUAUUUGAAGACCUCUUAAAAUUACACGUUGAAAAUAAUAUUCAACACCAAGAAUCCCUAGGAACUAGCCAUAGAUAUAUACCAAUAGCAGGCACAAUCGCUUGCUCUGUAAAUUACUUCUUGUUGUAUCAGUAUUUGCAACUCGCGAAACAAAGCUAAGUAGAGAGCUUUCGACACUCCCAAAGUAAAACAUGAGGCCUUCAAUGUCUAUCACCAGAUCCGUACACAGAGUCUCCCUCUACGAUAUCACCGGAACCCCCGGUGUCGCCAUUGACGUCAGCCACAUCAACACCAGAUCUGAGGUCAAAGGUUACACCGGAGAAGAGCAGCUUGCUCAAGCCUUGGAGGGAGCCGACGUCGUAAUUAUCCUCGCCGAAGUGCCCUGAAAGCCCGGCAUGACCCGAGAUGAUCUCUUCAACAUUAAUGUCGGUACCAUCAAGGGUCUCACUACCGCCAUCGCUAAGUACUGCCCCAAUGUGCUGAUCAACAUGAUUAGCAACCCAGUCAACUCUACGGUCCCGAUUACGGCCGAGGUGUUGAAGAAGAUUGGGAAGCACCACAGUGGUGCACACUCCGACGAGCACCAUCACCACCUAUGGACCGUUCCUCCUCCCUUUCUCACUUCCCGGCAAGCACCAUCAGGCAAGGGGAAGCCUUGUUUAGGCCGUACGAGGUGGAUGAUCCAUCAAACAUGAGCUGGUUUUGGGAUCCGGAGAAAAGGGAUUGCUCAUUUCGAUGGGUCUGAGCAUGGAUUCCAGAGAGAGGCGCAUAUCUUGGCAGUUGUGACGAUGGAGCCUCAGCUGCAGUUGCGACGCUGGAGCCUUGGCGAUAUUAUCGAUAAUAUCGCGAUAUAUUGACGAUAAUUAAGUGGAUAAGUGUGAAAAUAUCGCCCUCUAAAAAAAACGAUAUUAUCGGCGAUAUUUCGC